rnacentral:rRNA from 1 species
UACAGAGGUCCCAAGCGUUGUUCGGAUUCAUUGGGCGUAAAGGGUGCGUAGGCGGCGCGGUAAGUCGGGUGUGAAAUCUCGGGGCUUAACUCCGAAACUGCAUUCGAUACUGCCGUGCUUGAGGACUGGAGAGGAGACUGGAAUUUACGGUGUAGCGGUGAAAUGCGUAGAUAUCAUAAGGAAGACCAGUGGCGAAGGCGGGUCUCUGGACAGUUCCUGACGCUGAGGCACGAAGGUCAGGGGAGCAAACGGG